ACCCGCUGAACUUAAGCAUAUCAAUAAGCGGAGGAAAAGAAACCAACAGGGAUUGCCCUAGUAACGGCGAGUGAAGCGGCAACAGCUCAAAUUUGAAAUCUGGCGUCUUUGGCGUCCGAGUUGUAAUUUGCAGAGGGCGCUUUGGCAUUGGCAGCGGUCCAAGUUCCUUGGAACAGGACGUCACAGAGGGUGAGAAUCCCGUACGUGGUCGCUAGCCUUUACCGUGUAAAGCCCCUUCGACGAGUCGAGUUGUUUGGGAAUGCAGCUCUAAAUGGGAGGUAAAUUUCUUCUAAAGCUAAAUACUGGCCAGAGACCGAUAGCGCACAAGUAGAGUGAUCGAAAGAUGAAAAGCACUUUGAAAAGAGAGUUAAAAAGCACGUGAAAUUGUUGAAAGGGAAGCGCUUGCAGCCAGACUUGCCUGUAGUUGCUCAUCCGGGUUUUUACCCGGUGCACUCUUCUAUAGGCAGGCCAGCAUCAGUUUGGGCGGUUGGAUAAAGGUCUCUGUCAUGUACCUCUCUUCGGGGAGAACUUAUAGGGGAGACGACAUGCAACCAGCCCGGACUGAGGUCCGCGCAUCUGCUAGGAUGCUGGCGUAAUGGCUGU
rnacentral:rRNA from 1 species